GACGAACGCUGGCGGCGUGCCUAACACAUGCAAGUCGAGUGAAUGAAGUUCCUUCGGGAACGGAUUUAGCGGCGGACGGGUGAGUAACACGUGGGCAACCUGCCUCAUAGAGGGGAAUAGCCUUCCGAAAGGGAGAUUAAUACCGCAUAAGAUUGUAGUACCGCAUGGUACAGCAAUUAAAGGAGUAAUCCGCUAUGAGAUGGGCCCGCGGCGCAUUAGCUAGUUGGUGAGGUAACGGCUCACCAAGGCGACGAUGCGUAGCCGACCUGGGAGGGUGAUCGGCCACAUUGGGACUGGGACACGGCCCAGACUCCUACGGGAGGCAGCAGUGGGAAAUAUUGCACAAUGGGGGAAACCCUGAUGCAGCAACGCCGCGUGAGUGAUGACGGCCUUCGGGUUGUAAAGCUCUGUCUUCAGGGACGAUAAUGACGGUACCUGAGGAGGAAGCCACGGCUAACUACGUGCCAGCAGCCGCCGUAACAC
rnacentral:rRNA from 1 species